CAAGAAGAUAGAGAAGAUAUCGUCUAUUUCAUUUUUAUAUUUAUAAGAUAAGAUAUCUCGCGAACUGUAAGAAAUGUAGGAAUCAUAGGCGACUUGUGGCAUCUUCUGGAGUUCCUUCAAAACAAGAAGAAGAAAUGAUCGUGCCGAUGAGCUCACGUGCGUGAUACUCCUAUUCGCGAGGAUAUCGUCGAAACACCGCCCACCUUAUCGCCGCCGCAAGGAAAAAAACUAGUGGCGAACCGAUCGGAGCUGCUGAAUCUGGACACUUACCAGCCUAUUUGUCGCAACGAGUGAAUUAUUAUAUUGUCGAUCUCCUCCAUCCUACGUAAAAAGAUGAAAAUUCUGAGGCGCCGCUACCGCCCCGUUGUAUCGCGUGUUUAUGAAGUCCGGCUCGAUUUAAUCAUCAGGAUCUAACCUUCCGGCGAGCGUGACAAGCGCUCGCGAACGGACUUUUGCACAGUGCAUGUGAUACAGGUAUAUGUGGCGUGGCAACAUUUCAAUACUGCUAAUAGUCAAUCGGAGGUAUUUUUGCGAAUUUUCUGACAGCGG